GACGAACGCUGGCGGCGUGCUUAACACAUGCAAGUCGAACGGAAAGGCCCUGCUUUUGUGGGGUGCUCGAGUGGCGAACGGGUGAGUAACACGUGAGUAACCUGCCCUUGACUUUGGGAUAACUUCAGGAAACUGGGGCUAAUACCGGAUAGGAGCUCCUGCUGCACGGUGGGGGUUGGAAAGUUUCGGCGGUUGGGGAUGGACUCGCGGCUUAUCAGCUUGUUGGUGGGGUAGUGGCUUACCAAGGCUUUGACGGGUAGCCGGCCUGAGAGGGUGACCGGCCACAUUGGGACUGAGGUACGGCCCAGACUCCUACGGGAGGCAGCAGUGGGGAAUAUUGCACAAUGGGCGGAAGACUGAUGCAGCAACGCCGCGUGCGGGAUGACGGCCUUCGGGUUGUAAACCGCUUUCGCCUGUGACGAAGCGUGAGUGACGGUAAUGGGUAAAGAAGCACCGGCUAACUACGUG
rnacentral:rRNA from 1 species